rnacentral:lncRNA from 1 species
CGGGGAGGCGGGGAGGUGGAUGUGGCUGCGCUUUCGAACGUCUGGGGAGCUGCCAGGUCAAGGAGAGGAUCAGAGCGAAAGGAGGCUGGAGCUGUGAGCCUGAACCAGACAGUUCACCCCCCGGGAGGGAGAUCAACUCGUUGGCACAGUGUGUGUUCACACGGAGUCCGAAGCUGCAAUCCAGCAGCAGUGGCCUGAUCCCCUUCCACGUGCGCUGCUCUCAAUGGGGGAAGACGGUCUCACGUCCCACCCACACCCCAAGUUUCCUCUUCUGCAGUGUUAACAAGCUCAGUUCCUUCUGCUGCUUCGCAUACGGCAGAGGGGUAUCUCUCCAUACAACGGAGGAAGUCUGGGGCUUGGGAACCCUCUCAUCGCUCCUCUAGAGAAGUGAGUGGUCCACACCCAGCCAUCCAAGCACGGAUGGCGCAGGCGGCAUAGACGUUUACACAGACACUGAGCCCAGCCUGCUGUGCCUUCUAACAACCAGUGUCUGGCAUUUGCUUCUCGGAUUCACCAACUCUCCCACCAACCCUCAGCGGGGCAAGCACGUUCUCGUCAGUCCUGCCUGUGCCCCCAGGCUUUGUUCCUAAUGCCUCACGUAAAAACUGCUCAGCUUCCUCUUGCAGCUACUUUCUCCGAAGCGAGGAAGUGUUAUUUUGGAGGUCUUAGCGCCCCCGUCCCCUCAGGCAACAUGGCACAAGGGCAGGGAUGGUCUUCAGAGUCAGAAAGACCUCGGUUUUUUGGCUCAGUUCAUUAUUAACCGUGUGACUUUGGGCAAGUGGCUCAGCCUGUCUAAGCUUCAGUUUCCAUUGAUGCUUCAGAGCCGAGAAGAGCUUAGUUAAUGGACAAUGAUAAGGUCCCCGGUGUACAGUGGGCCCGUGGGAACUGAUGGCUGUUGAUAACCAAACAAGCAGUAAUACUGCUGAUCUGCACCUCUCCUCACAGCCUUCGGUCUACUGGUUGGCUCGGAACCUCAGUUUUCCCGUCUAUUCAAUGAGGGUAACAGCAAGUAUUAUCAAUGUGGUAAUACACAAUGGGUGUAAAAGCAAUGUGAUAAACAAACAUGCAUUGCCCACAUCAGGCUCUUGAAGCCUGGGUAUAUCUUGGCCUCCCUGCCCUCCAGGGGGUCCCUUCCCCUUGUAGCUGGCACAGCCGUUGCUAGGCCCUUUCUCUCCAUCCAGAGAUGCUCCUGGAAGGGGUCCCAAGUGCUUUCUAGGCAAAGAGACUCUUGAGAUGAGGUUCUCCCUUUUUGGUUGCCCAGGAUCAAAGAGUCAUUUUUCGGUCUCUUGUUUCUCCCUUGGUCUCUCUCUCUCUUGCCUGUUAAGAUUGAAUUGUGUCCCUCACUCUCUCUCCGAAAAAGAUCUGUUGUCGUCCUGGUACCCAGUCCCCGUGGAUGUGACCUCUUUGGAGAUAGGGUCUCUGCAGACUUCAUCAAGUUAAGGCAGGGUCAUCAGGAUGGGCUCUAAUCUGACACGACUGUUGCCCUGAUAAGAAGAGAAGUCGUGUGAAGAUAGACACACGGGGAGGGCACAGUGUGAAGAUGGAGGGAGAUUGGGGCUUGUCCCCACAGGCCAAGGAACAUCGGGGCUGCCAGAAGCUUCAGGAGGCAAGGAAGCAUCCCCCACCAGAGGCUUCAGAGAACUCCAAGCCUUCCCAGCUCUCCAGACUGACUCCAGACUUCUGCUCUCCAGACCCACGAGAGAAUAAAUUCUUUGUUGUCAUUUC